AUUGAACGCUGGCGGCAUGCCUUACACAUGCAAGUCGAACGGUAACAGGUCUUCGGAUGCUGACGAGUGGCGAACGGGUGAGUAAUACAUCGGAACGUGCCCGAUCGUGGGGGAUAACGAAGCGAAAGCUUUGCUAAUACCGCAUAGGAUCUACGGAUGAAAGCAGGGGACCGCAAGGCCUUGCGCGAACGGAGCGGCCGAUGGCAGAUUAGGUAGUUGGUGGGAUAAAAGCUUACCAAGCCGACGAUCUGUAGCUGGUCUGAGAGGACGACCAGCCACACUGGGACUGAGACACGGCCCAGACUCCUACGGGAGGCAGCAGUGGGGAAUUUUGGACAAUGGGCGAAAGCCUGAUCCAGCCAUGCCGCGUGCAGGAUGAAGGCCUUCGGGUUGUAAACUGCUUUUGUACGGAACGAAAAGACUCUGGUUAAUACCUGGGGUCCAUGACGGUACCGUAAGAAUAAGCACCGGCUAACUACGUG
rnacentral:rRNA from 1 species